AACAAAUAAACGCAAUUGCAUCAAUUAUCAAAAUUGAUGCUCGAGAAAAAUAAGAAAUACAUAAUAUAUAUCAAUAUUUAUAUAUAUAUAUGUAUAUAUAGAUAUAUGAUA